CCCUAUUCACAUACAAUUUUUUGAAUAAUUUCAACAUUAUCACUAGUUUAAUUAGCUUUAAAAAUUGAAGAUUUUGUUUGGGUGACCCCUACUCAUCAUCUAUUAUUUGACCUUUCGAAAGUUGUUCAAGGAAUAGUCAUUUAAUUUCCUUAAACUACAUGAAAAAAUUUCGUCUUUUUCCUAAAUUUUAUUUCAAUUUUUUGUUCAUUAUGUUUAGGUUUUGGCAUUUUUCUGGGGGCGGCCAUAGACUUCUAGUUAUUGGCUUAACAAAACUUAGUAGCUUAAUUAAGUGAAAUUUUUAUAUUUUGUAUUGGAAAAUCUACUUAAUUAUGUAUAAUUAAUUUAUUUAGAGCGCAAUUAACUAUCAUCUUUAGAACACAAAACUCAUAAUCUUGCACUUUAAACUUGGAACUCUUGUGAAACAAACAUUCAAUUAAGUAAUUUGGAUGGUAAUAAGUCAACCGAAAAAGCAUAGAGAUUCGGUUGGUUAGUAUUUUUAAUUUUAACUAUUCGGUGUUCAAUAUUUUUAUUAGAAUUUAACUAAAUUUAGUUUUACAAGGUAAAGUCUCAUAUCAGAAUGCGACUUUGUAUAGUAUUCAAUAAGUCUCAAACUCAAGACCUCUGAUUAAAAAUAAAAGAGUACUUAUCAUACGAAAUUAUCUUUACAUUUUAGCAAAAAGACCAAUCAUAAAUACAUGGAGCUGAAAUAUGAAAUAUAUUUUUUAAAAAGUAGCUAGCUAGAUAGCUUUCAAUGAUCACUUAAUUAAUCACUACAAAAGGACCUACUAGUAACUGAUAAUGAAGUUUUACAACAUGUAUAAACAGACUUAAUUUUGACAAAUUAAUUAAUACUUCCUGGCCUCUAAAUUUUUAGUCCAAAAAGCCUUUGAUGAAGAAUAUUGACAGAUAUCUGAGAAGUGAGCACUUUAUCCUUUAAGCACUUUGACUGAAUUUCUAACCUGCAAUACCAAAAUAUUACAACUUUUAAUUUCAUGAUGUUUGAUAUAUAAAUAUACUAUUCUUUUCGUUUUAUUUAUACGAUACCAUUUAAAUUGAUUGUGCACAGAGUUAAAAGAAAAAAGGAAAGAUUUUGAACACAACCAAGAGGAAAAUUACGUGCUUUUCAAAUUUAUUAUCUUAAAAAUAAUCGAUAAUCACAUUUUAAUGACUAUAAAAGAAUGUCGUUACGGGUAAAUUAUACAAAUAAUAAGUGUAGACUAUGUACUUGUAUAUAUGUAUAUGUAUCAAUAUUGUACCUGUAUCAAACACCCAGAGUAGUAAUCCAAAUAACAUUGCUUUAGUUCCCAAAUAGCUUUCUCCCUUCUUUGACAAACCAAGAAUAUGCUAAAUGUUUUGCCUAACAUGUUUAUAUAGAGAUAAAAAUACCUAGACUAGCUCUUAAAUAAUUUAAUAUCAUAUGCUGAGAUCAUCAUCCUCUUGACCACUUACC
rnacentral:lncRNA from 1 species